UACGUAGGGCGCAAGCGUUGUCCGGAAUUAUUGGGCGUAAAGAGCUCGUAGGCGGCUUGUCACGUCGGGUGUGAAAGACCGGGGCUUAACCCCGGUUCUGCAUUCGAUACGGGCUGGCUAGAGUGCAGAAGGGGCAACCGGAAUUCUUGGUGUAGCGGUGAAAUGAGUAGAUAUCAAGAGGAACACCUGAGGUGAAGACGGGUUGCUGGGCUGACACUGACGCUGAGGCGCGAAAGCUAGGGUAGCAAACGGG
rnacentral:rRNA from 1 species